GAUGAAGAACGUAGCGAAAUGCGAUAAGUAGUGUGAAUUGCAGAAUUCAGUGAAUCAUCGAAUCUUUGAACGCACAUUGCGCCCUUUGGUAUUCCAAAGGGCAUGCCUGUUCGAGCGUCAUUUGUACCCUCAAGCUUUGCUUGGUGUUGGGCGUCUUGUCUCUAGCUUUGCUGGAGACUCGCCUUAAAGUAAUUGGCAGCCGGCCUACUGGUUUCGGAGCGCAGCACAAGUCGCACUCUCUAUCAGCAAAGGUCUAGCAUCCAUUAAGCCUUUUUUUCAACUUUCGACCUCGGAUCAGGUAGGGAUACCCGCUGAACUUAAGCAUAUCAAUAAGCGGAGGA
rnacentral:misc_RNA from 1 species